GAAGCGAGACGGAGACGUUAAGCGAACCCAAAAAAGUAAGUCUCAGUUCGGAUUGAGGGCUGAAAUUGCCUUUAUGAAGCCGGAAUUGCUAGUAAUGGCAGGUCAGCAUACUGCCGUGAAUACGUUCCCGGGCCUUGUACACACCGCCCGUCACACCAUGAGAGUUGGGAAUACCCGAAGCCUGUGAGCUAACUUUUAGAGGCAGCAGUCGAAGGUAGAAUCAAUGAUUGGGGUGAAGUCGUAACAAGGUACC
rnacentral:rRNA from 1 species